rnacentral:rRNA from 1 species
AGCGAACGCUGGCGGCAGGCCUAACACAUGCAAGUCGAACGAAGUCUUCGGACUUAGUGGCGGACGGGUGAGUAACACGUGGGAACGUGCCCUUAGGUUCGGAAUAACUCAGGGAAACUUGUGCUAAUACCGAAUGUGCCCUUCGGGGGAAAGAUUUAUCGCCUUUAGAGCGGCCCGCGUCUGUUUAGCUAGUUGGUGAGGUAAAGGCUCACCAAGGCUACGAUCAGUAGCUGGUCUGAGAGGAUGACCAGCCACAUUGGGACUGAGACACGGCCCAAACUCCUACGGGAGGCAGCAGUGGGGAAUCUUGCGCAAUGGGCGAAAGCCUGACGCAGCCAUGCCGCGUGGAUGAUGAAGGUCUUAGGAUUGUAAAAUCCUUUCACCGGUGAAGAUAAUGACUGUAGCCGGAGAAGAAGCCCCGGCUAACUUCGUGCCAGCAGCCGCCGUAACAC